CCCUUAGAUGUCCUGGGCCGCACGCGCGUUACACUGAUGCAUUCAACGAGCUUAUAACCUUGGCCGAGAGGCCUGGGCAAUCUUGCUAACGUGCAUCGUGAUAGGGAUAGAUUAUUGAAAUUAUUAAUCUUGAACGAGGAAUUCCUAGUAAACGCAAAUCAUCAAUUUGCAUUGAUUACGUCCCUGCCCUUUGUACACACCGCCCGUCGCACCUACCGAUUGAAUGGUCCGGUGAAAUCUCGGGAUUGUGGCCAGUUCACUUUAUUGGGAGUUGGCUGCGAGAACUUGCUUAAACCUUAUCAUUUAGAGGAAGGUGAAGUCGUAACA
rnacentral:rRNA from 1 species